GCCGCGAUGGUCCAACGGUGACGACGCCGGGCCCUCAACCCGGAGCCGGGGUUCGACUCCCCGUCGCGGUA
rnacentral:tRNA from 1 species